rnacentral:rRNA from 1 species
CCUACGGGAGGCUGCAGUGAGGAAUAUUGGUCAAUGGACGCGAGUCUGAACCAGCCAAGCAGCGUGAAGGAUGACUGCCCUACGGGUUGUAAACUUCUUUUAUAAAAGAAUAAAGUGAGGCACGCGUGUCUUUUUGUAUGUAUCUUACGAAUAAGGAUCGGCUAACUCCGUGCCAGCAGCCGCGGUAAUACGGAGGAUCCAAGCGUUAUCCGGAUUUAUUGGGUUUAAAGGGAGCGUAGAUGGUUGGUUAAGUCAGUUGUGAAAUUUUGCGGCUCAACCGUGAAAUUGCAAUUGAUACUGGCAGUCUUGAGAGCAGUUGAGGUAGGCGGAAUGCGUGGUGUAGCGGUGAAAUGCUUAGAGAUCACGAAGAACACCGAUUGCGAAGGCAGCUUACUAAGCUGCCACUGACAUUGAUGCACGAAAGUGUGGGUAUCAAACAGGAUUAGAUACCCGAGUAGUC